AUAUCUUUCUCGGAAUUUUGGCUAUGAUCAAUUUUAGUAUCUAUUCUUAUCAGUUUAAUAUCAGAUACGUGGGCCAUUGGCUCACAUGAUAUUAAGUUAAUUUUUUCGGGGGAAGACCCGUCACAGUAGCUUGUUGUUGGGGUCUUCGAGUGUCGCCCUUGUGUUUCACUUCUGCUUGGGCUAGGCACAACCAAU